rnacentral:lncRNA from 1 species
CCGUUAGAGAGUGCAAGUCCUCAGACUGCAGGAGGAGGAACUCCCGUCCUUCGGUAGUGUCACUACUUAGAGGCAGCUGUGAGGAGCUGUGAUUAAUCGUGGAAUGUGCUGAUGUGCCCACUAAAGAUGCCUGGUAAGCAGUGGCUCCUCUAACAAGUGGGCAGCUUGGAACUGGGAACGAGAGAGCCACCGAAACAGAAUGAGGGAGACAAAGAAGUGGGCAUCACCCUUAACUCCACAAGGGCUUCCCAAGGGCGCUGUACCGUACGCAGGCCCAGGACGAACUUUAUUUCUCGCCCCAGCAUCGCUGUCCUUGUCGGUGAGACCCUGGCUUUAGGGCAGACAGGACCACGUUUCAUAAGUUCAUGCUGUCCCAGCAGAGGAAUAACGCCAGAAAGUGUUCCAGUACAACCAGAGAAAGAGAGUCCAUGAGAAAUCUGCCCUUGUGAAGUUGGAAUCCCCUCAACCUCACCCCGCUGACUUGAAUGAAGCGACUGAGACGGGCUAUGAUGGAGCAGAUCCGGUUGCUCGACCUUCUCCCUUGCACCAACACAUGUAGUUAAUAGUUACUGGACAUGCAUAUUCAGUGGGUUCCAGGUACCAAACUUGUAUUGAAUGGUAUGUGCCAGACACCGUCUUGAGAUCUGGAGAAUAAAAAAAUAAAAAAAUAAAAACGAGACAUCCAGAGCACAGUAGCCUUGCGGUCUUCCU